UACGGAGGAUGCAAGCGUUAUCCGGAAUGAUUGGGCGUAAAGCGUCCGCAGGUGGCUAUGUAAGUCUGCUGUUAAAGAGUCUAGCUCAACUAGAUAAGAGCAGUGGAAACUACAAGGCUAGAGUACGUUCGGGGCAGAGGGAAUUCCUGGUGUAGCGGUGAAAUGCGUAGAGAUCAGGAAGAACACCAGUGGCGAAGGCGCUCUGCUAGGCCGUAACUGACACUGAGGGACGAAAGCCAGGGGAGCGAAUGGG
rnacentral:rRNA from 1 species